rnacentral:rRNA from 1 species
CCUAUGUGUGGCAGCAGUGAGGAAUAUUGGUCAAUGGGCGCGAGCCUGAACCAGCCAAGUCGCGUGAGGGAGGACGGCCCUACGGGUUGUAAACCUCUUUUGCCGGGGAGCAACGGGCGCCACGUGUGGCGUCACUGAGAGUACCCGGAGAAAAAGCAUCGGCUAACUCCGUGCCAGCAGCCGCGGUAAUACAGAGGAUGCGAGCGUUAUACGGAUUUAUUGGGUUUAAAGGGUGCGUAGGCGGAUCGUUAAGUCAGUGGUCAAAUGGAGGGGCUCAACCCCUUCCCGCCAUUGAAACUGGCGUUCUUGAGUGGAAGAGAAGGAUGCGGAAUGCGUGGUGUAGCGGUGAAAUGCAUAGAUAUCACGCAGAACCCCGAUUGCGAAGGCAGCAUGCCGGCUUCCGACUGACGCUGAAGCACGAAAGCGUGGGGAUCGAACAGGAUUAGAUACCCGUGUAGUC